rnacentral:rRNA from 1 species
UACGUAGGGUGCUAGCGUUGUCCGGAUUUAUUGGGCGUAAAGAGCUCGUAGGCGGUUUGUUGCGUCGGCUGUGAAAACCUGAGGCUCAACCUCAGGCCUGCAGUCGAUACGAGCAGACUAGAGUGUUGCAGGGGAGACUGGAAUUCCUGGUGUAGCGGUGAAAUGCGCAGAUAUCAGGAGGAAUACCGGUGGCGAAGGCGGGUCUCUGGGCAACAACUGACGCUGAGGAGCGAAAGCGUGGGGAGCGAACAGG